UGCGCAGGCGGAAUGGUAAGUCAGUGGUGAAAUCCUACAGCUUAACUGUAGAACUGCCAUUGAUACUGUCAUUCUUGAGUACAUAUGAAGUGGGCGGAAUGUGUCAUGUAGCGGUGAAAUGCAUAGAUAUGACACAGAACACCGAUAGCGAAGGCAGCUCACUAAAUUGUAACUGACGCUCAUGCACGAAAGCGUGGGGAGUAAACAGGAUUAGAUACCCUGGUAGUCC
rnacentral:rRNA from 1 species